rnacentral:rRNA from 1 species
UACGUAGGGGGCAAGCGUUGUCCGGAAUCAUUGGGCGUAAAGAGCGCGUAGGCGGUCCGGUAAGUCGGUUGUGAAAACUGGGGGCUCAACCCUCAGAGGCCGACCGAUACUGCCGGGCUAGAGUCCGGAAGAGGCGAGUGGAAUUCCUGGUGUAACGGUGAAAUGCGCAGAUAUCAGGAGGAACACCAAUGGCGAAGGCAGCUCGCUGGGACGGUACUGACGCUGAGGCGCGAAGGCGUGGGGAGCAAACAGG